GAGGAAGGUAAGCUGGACGCCCCGGCCUGCCCCAGCCCGCCCCAGCCCGCCCCAGCCCGCACUUCCGCGAGGGGCUGCCCGGCAGCCUGCGAUGCUCCCUGAUUCCCGCGCGGGGUCCUCCUCGCUUUCCCAGCGCGCCCGGAUCCCGCAGCCGCGCCAGGCUGGAACGUUCGCGCGGCCUCACCUGUCCCCGCUCCAGGCGCGCCUCCCUCCCCUCCCAGGGACGAGCGCAUUUGGCCGGGCUUUGGGAUGCGCCGCGCUCGUCUCGCCGCAGUAGUAGUGCUGUUCUCGCGCCUCCGAUGCCUCAACUCUCCAGUCUGGCAGUUUCCGGUGCACCUGUCCCCACACGUCCCUCGCCCACGGAGCCCCAGGCGGCGUUACGCACACCCAGGAUCGUGGAUCAGCCUGCCCCGGCGUCGGGUGUCCCCGCGGCUCUCACCAUCUGGAAAAGGAAGGUCCGCGCGCAGAGAGGGAAAUGGACGGAAAUAAGCAAAAGCAAAACAACCCCUUCUGAGAAGUGUCCUCCUCGCUCUCUUAUAAAAACAGGACUUGUUGCCGAGAGAGAAUGUCUGAAGCAUUGAAGAGUACGACCCAGGAAUUGAACCACCCAAGUCGGAGGAGGUAGAGGUUGGAAGUCACCGACUUUGGCCAGCACUUGUGUAGUGUCACCUGUCUUCACUUUCUAACGUUUAUUUUUCCUCCCCUUUCUGUGGCUGAUUUUCUGAUCUUUGUUCCUCGGUUCCCAGGACCAGGCCCACUCCCUCCGCCUUUUCAGCGAAGGCUGCAGUGCAUGACAGUUUACAGCCAAAACUUCCUCCAGCCCGGCUAUAAAGAAUUCCCAGUUAAUAACAAUGCGCUUCCUUGGGAGGAAAGAGGGGCUGAGGCACCGCCAGCUGUUUCGCUCCCAGGGUCUAUCUCUCCUUGGCAAGCCCAGCCAUUCAGAGAAAAACAAGACAAAGCCUUAUGGCUGGGCCUCAGGAUGCAACUGUCCCACCGAAAACAUGCUUGAAACAUUUUAUAAGAAAACACACACACACACCCCACUCGACUCCCAGAGAGGCAGUUUUCCUGGGCCCAAUCCCUUCUGAAAAAGCAAAGCCAUUUAUCUUUAGAAGCAGGCAACAAUGAAGCUGUAACAGGCUCAAGGAGGGGUGGAGGACAGCCUCGCGUGACUCUUACCCCACACUCUAGUCCCUCUCUUUCUGCAAGAAAAACAAAUGAAUUUCUUUUCUGAUUAUAUAUGUACUCCUUGUAGAAAUAUUAUAUAUGUAUCUGUCUUCAUAUAUAUGUAAAACAGUCACCCACAGUAUCUGUGGGGGAUUGGUUCCAGGACCUACAAAGAUGGCAGAAUCCAGGGAUGCCCUAGUCCCUUGGCAUGGUAUUUGCAUAUAACCUAUGGACUUCCUCCAUGAACUAUAAAUCACUUCUGGAUUACUUAUAAUACCUAAUACAAUGUAACACUAUGCAAAUAGUAGUUAUACUGUAUUGCUUUUUAUUUGUAUAAUUUUUAUUCUUUCAUUAUUGGGGAGAGGGAGUUUGGAAUGUUUUCUAUCAAUUCAACCAACCACGGAUAUGGAACCUGUGGCUAUGGAGGGCUGGCUGUAUGUUUAUCUCUCUCUAUGUAUAUAAAUGCUAACCUCAAGCACUAAGCAAUGUUCAUA
ensembl:lncRNA LNCDAT lncRNA divergent activator of TBXT